CAGCCGAAAGCCCAUCCCAGUUUAAAUCAACAAACAACAAAUAAAGUCUUCGCUGCAUGCAAAAACCGGAGGACGGAUCAACACAGGAUGAACCAGAGAAAGAAAGAGAUAGCGUCAGUCUGGGGAGUGAGUUGCCAGGUGCAGACGGGCAGAGGCGAAAUUCUCCAGCUGUGUCCCAUGAUGGAAGCGGGGGCCCCGGGAGGUCAGAGAAGCACCGGGGCACCUUCCUCUCAUCCUUCCAAAACAUGCCAGGAGACCGACAGCAGACACCCAAGCAAUCCGGUCAUGCGCCAUGACAAGCGCCAAGAAAUCUCAUCUAAAGUCCAGAAAACACGGAGCUGAGAAGAGAGUAAGCAUGUAGAAGCUCGCUGAUGAAAACAGCGACGUGGAAGCUGGAGCCUGUUAAAUGAAAGGCUGCUCUAUUCCGCUAUUGGAAAUUAUAUAUGAAAAGUUCAUGUUCACGGCUCCCUGCCACGUGACUAGCUGGGGCCAAUAGGAAGCCGAGCUGCGUCGUAAAGUUGCAUUGCUAUGUUGUAAAUUUUCAUAAACAACAGCGGAUUUAUGACCCACCGCUGGAGGGUGAGAUGGGGGACUGGUGCUGGAGGAAGGGAGGGAGGGACAGAGAAGGAAGGGCCGGGUCACCGCCAGGCGCCAUUUUACCGAGGGAAGAGGGAACAGAGAGUUCAACAGUGAUUCCCUUUCAUCUGCAGCUUGUCCCAUCUCGCAUCCUCAUAGCUCACAUUCCCCAAGUAUAGCGCUCACUUCUCAACCCUCACAAUAGACUGCAACAUGUCAUCUAAGGUGUGUACUACUCCGCCUGUAACAGAUUACUAUUGUUAUUCAGUUACUUUGCAGCUGUUUCUGGCUCCAAACCGGAGCUUUCUGGAUCCGCGGCCUCCGACACCUUCUGAACACC